AACGUUAUUGCAAAGAAUGGUGUGAACCUUGAAACCUCAGCAACAGACUACAAGUUCCCACCUUCUCUCCUGUCUUUUGAAAAAUUCAUUGAGCAUGAAACCUUUUGGAGUGGCAUCAGGUCCCUUCAAACCACAGCUGCUGAAGUUUCUGGAGAGAUAUAUGGUUUUCCUGUUGCUGAACAGCAGCUUAGAUCAAGGCCAAUAUUUAUUUCCACAUCAUUUUACCUUAUGGAAUGAAAUGGAACUGGACUGACAAACCUUUCUGAGGUGUCCACCAUGGAACAUGCCCUCCCCAAACUGCAAGUAUUUCCCUCUACUGCACUAAGAUACUCUCUACAUAUAAAAAGCCUAUGAAUGCAAAUGAGGAGCUGAAAUAUUGACUUGUCCUGCUGUGAUGGACCAGAGCUACCCAAAUCCUGAUAUUCAAUAUUCCCAAAGUCAUAUUUGGACAAUCUCACCAGGAAACAGAGGCAAUCAACCACCACCCACUGUCAGAGAAGAAUUCCCAUUUUAUAUUAAUAACAAUACAAUUCUGAAGAUUACUAUCUAUGACAAUAAAGCUUCUGGCUUCUUGCAUGUAAGAGAGCCACAUAAGAUAACAACUCACCCAUGCCUCCAACAAAUUCCAGUUGCUUUGCUAACUGCUGCCCUUGUCUGUGCUUAGGAAUAUUUUUUUUCUUGUGUGAACUAUCUAAUUAUGCAUCAGGAUAAUCUCUGCUACUCUUUUGGAUCACUCCAGGGCUUGUUAAGUGGAGUGAUCUUUUCUGAGAAACUUCUGAAUUAUUCAAUGACUUACAUGCACAAAAAGAAAUUACCAAUGGAAUACAUCUGGUCUCUAUUAAUCAAAAAAUCCAUAAUUCUGUUGAUAUUUGCACUUUUUUUUUUUUUAAUUUUUUUUUUUUUAAUGUGAUUACGGGAUACUAUUGAACGAGCAAACUGGUUUGUAUUAGAAAAUCACCACCAUCAUCUCCUGCUCAUGAAAUGGCUCUGGAAAAAGAAAAUCUGUGCCAUUGCCUAGUAAGGAAUUCUUAGGUAAAUAUCACUUUAUUGUGGGAUGGGUUACAGAAUCCUGGAGUGGCCUGGGUUGGAAGGGACCUCCAAAAAUCCUCUUGUCCCAAGCCCUGCUCUGGGCCCACCAGCCCAGGUGGUUCAGUGCAUUCCCCUGAGCAGAGCCUGUGAACAGACAUUGGUACCUGUGCCUGGGAUUCAUCACUUCAAAGGAAAUACCUUAGAAAUUAAAAGAAAUCCAAUCAAUCCAAACUGAAGUCGUGGCAGCAGCAGAGAAAGCAGAACUGACAGAUUGGAAACCUUAUUAGUACUUAUGCAUGAUUCAUUUGUCUUUGGCAUGCCAAAACACCUGGGAGUAAAUUGUUGUUUUAAAUACUUAU